AUGUGUUCUCCCCUUUUUAUAAUUAAUAGUGCAUUGUGCUGUCUAUCAUGCGCCCCAGGUGUGUUGUCAGGGACAUGGCGAAGCCCGCUGCCUGCAAAACACCAAGAAAUGCUGAAAACCAACCCCACCAGCCUCCACCGACUUUCCUAUGUUGCCCGGGCUGUUGCUGAACUACUGGGCUGAAGAUAUCCUUCUGCCUCAGUCUCCAAGUACUUGGGACUAUAGGCAUAUGCACAUUUUAGAUCACGUCUUUUCCUUCCUUUUUUUUUUCUUUCUUUUCUAUUUAUUUUUUUAAACUUUCCAUAUACUUAUUGUUGUGGAACUCUGUCAUAACUUAAAUUUAACCUAGUAAAACUUUGAUGGUACCCUUCUGAAUUUAGUGUGCAAGAAGGAGCAACUGUUAGCUCUUUGAAUCCUACUUUUUGCCAGUCUCUUUGCUCUGUACUUCUCUGAUUAAAAUACUGAACUGCUGGGUGACAUUUAUUCCUCGUUUCUAUUCUCUGUAGAGAGUGGUGUUUGGGAAUUGAGCUCUCCACAUUCAUGUAAAUACCUUGGGAGCUGAGUAAGAAGUAAGUGCUUGGUGGUCAACUGAAUAUGGUUUGUAAGAAAGAAUUCAGGGGAGCUACCAUAUUAGUGGUUUAGGUAUAAAGAACUAACAAGAAUUAAAGAUGUGAACCAAAUCUAGGGAUGGACAAUGGUGAGUUCACAUGCUAUAGUGGUUUC
rnacentral:lncRNA from 1 species